GGGGAGGGAGAAUCGAGAUGGCUGAAGAUGUGUGUCUCUAGCAGGCUCUGGAAGUUAUUUAUAUCAAAAGGCAUGGCAGAGAACUUCUGCUGGUGACCCAGCUGAUUCUGGUUGCUCCUGCUGACUUGUGCCAAUUCUGCAGAGGCUUGGCUAUUUCUGCUGGAUUGAUCCACCACUGCUGAUUUGUGUUUGGUAUCUCGACACUACUGAACUGGACUGUUGGUAUCCUGACAAAUGGAGAUUGGAAUUGCCUCAAAGAACUAAACAGAACUAAGGACUACAGAGGAGCACUCAUCAACAAGCUGAGUUGCCUGCGAGAUACUGACACCAGCUGAGUUGCCUGGAAGAGACAUUCUCCAAAAACAAGCUGCCUUAACAUUGUGCUAUCCUUGAUUCCCUGAGGGAAGCACAGAUGAGAACUUCUUCUGGUGUUCUUGUUGGUCCUUCCUGCUGACUUGAGUUGAGGCUGAGGCCUGGCUGUCUCUGAUAGAUCAUGUCACCACUGUUGCUAACAACUCUACUGAACUGGACUACUAGCGUAUCCAUGAGGAGUAUUUGAGUGGAUCGAGCUGCUGCUACCUGCUAACUCAUAAACUGAACCACUGAUUUCCAGAUAACACAGAUGGGAAUUGCUCCAAAGAACCUUUCUAAACAGGUCCACUUCCUGUAUAUCCUUUCUUUUCU